rnacentral:rRNA from 1 species
GACGUAGGGGGCAAGCGUUGUCCGGAAUCAUUGGGCGUAAAGCGCUCGUAGGUGGAUCGGUAAGUCUGCAAAGAAAGACCCGGGCUCAACUCGGGGAACGGUGUGGAUACUACCGAUCUUGAGGCAAUCAGAGGAUGAGUGGAAUUCCCGGUGUAGCGGUGGAAUGCGCAGAUAUCAGGAGGAACACCGAUGGCGAAGGCAGAUCUCUGGGCCGUAAGCUGACGCUGAGGAGCGAAAGCAUGGGGAGCGAACAGG